CGAGCCGCGCCUGUCUGCACCGCGAGCCGAGCCGAUCUUCAACCUCCAAGCCGAGCCGGUCCCUGUCCUUUUUCCAGCCGAGCCGCCAAGCCUAAUUUGGCUCCUUCCAUCCAAUUUUUGGGACGUCUUGGACCAAGUAACUGCUGCAGCGUGGGAUUUCUUCAGUAGGGGCUCAAGCAUUGCAACCUCUUUCUAGGUUAGGACCUCGUUGCUUGGAAAGCACACUUGCCUCGCGGUUAGAACUCGCCAAGUAAAUCUCCAGGUAAGAGAUUUCUACUACUAGCUCCAUGUUUAGAAU